rnacentral:misc_RNA from 1 species
GUUAUCCCCUUCCCACCUCCUACUGUCUCUCUAAUUACAAGUGAAAUGCAUGUGUAGUAAUGAGUUUUGGUAGUUGGCUUUUCAUGAGAAAAUUUUGUUUUGGUUGGUGAGGUAGUUGCUUUAAGCCGCUGAUUUUGUGGAUUGGUUGGUUCCAAAUAAUGGGCUUUAAUCUUUUCUUUGAGCUGCUGGUUCAAUGAUUCAUGAGUUAUACUCACGAGUUUAAUUAGUUCACUGGUCGGAAGAUUGUUUCGGAUAAUAAUAAAUGAUUUUUCUUGUAUAUGUUGUUUUUGUACUCCUUUUUACUGCUAUGUUGUGGGCUCUAUUUUGCCUGUUUUAGUUUCCUUUUAGCAGCUGCAUAUAUUAUAACUAUCCUUGCUUUGCUUUUCAUUUUCAGAUUUCUGCUCUCAGGUCAAUCUCAUUCUUCUUCUAUUUUAAGUUAUUGAAAUUUAAUUUACCUUUGUUCUUUUUUCUCUUUCCCUAAUUAACUUAUCAAUUAUGGAAAUUAAGUGCUUGAUGACUUUUUUUAGGCUUGGAUGUAAUGGAUCGCUAGCUUGAAUCAUUAAGUGCUUCAUCGACUAUCUAUGGUCAUUUAGCCUAUGGACUUGUGUACAUGUAUAUGUGGGUCUGAGUGACCAUGUGCUUGUUGCAGGUUUCCCAACAAUAGAAAAUGAAGAUUUUUGCAGCUCAGGUCGAGGAUGGAAAGGAAGGAAAAGAUGGGAAUCCUUCCGUUGGUCCUGUUUAUCGCAGUUUAAUAUCCAGAAAUGAUUUUCCUCAACCAGAUCCUGAUAUGAAUACAGCGUGGGAUCUUUUCAGCACGUCUGUCAAAAAGUAUCCUGGAAAUAAAAUGCUUGGUUGGCGUAAAUUUGUAGAUGGGAAGGUGGGGCCUUAUGUGUGGAAAACUUACAAGGAAGUGUAUGAAGAAGUUUUGCAAGUUGGUUCAGCGUUGCGAGCAUCUGGUGCUAAACCUGGCUGCCGAGUUGGAAUUUAUGGAUCAAACUGUCCUCAAUGGCUUGUAGCCAUGGAGGCUUGCGGCUCCCAAAGCUUGGUUUGCGUGCCUCUCUAUGAUACACUUGGUAGGCAUUCCUUUUAAAAUAUUACCAAUUUUAAAAUUUAAAUCUUCAUUAUCCCUUGAUUGAAAAGGAUUAUAGAUUCAAUUUUGUACAUGGUGUCCUCAAUGUAAAUUUUCCCAGGAUGUGUACUGAGAAUCUCCUUCCAUCUUCUCCUGCCUAAUUUGAUUCUCAAAUUCAGCACUUGCUAGUGGUUAUUUUGGUGAUUCACCUUUUGGACCAGUUCGUAAAAUUAUAGAAAGUUUAGUUGAAUGAGUUGUCUUGGAUGCACUGAUGCAGGUCCUGGUGCAGUUAAUUUUAUUAUAGAACAUGCAGAGGUUGAUUUCGUUUUUAUCCAAGAUAAAAAAGUGAAAGAAGUAAGUUCAAGAAAAUUUACCUGCUGUCAAAAUUAAUUGUAUGUUCUUUUCCAUAGAAUCUCGCAUAUGAAAGUAGCUAAUAUUUCUAAAUCAACAUAUAUUGAGCAGUUGUUGAAUCCAGAUUGCCCAUGUGCUUCACAGCUUAAAGGUCAGAAUGGAUAAACAAAUAGUGAUUUAUUGUGUGGCUGGAAGUCCUACUAAUUAAGUUUCAUUGUGGUUGUAGCCAUUGUUUGCUUCACUUCAUUUACAGAGGAAGAAAAGGACAAGGCACUCCAAAUACAGAUAAAACCAUACUCUUGGGAAGAGUUUCAACACUUGGUUAGUUCCUACAGAUGACCUAAAUGAAAAUGAUAUUUUCUGUUAACUUAUUGAAAGUAGUCCUCAGGCAGAUCAAUGUAUACAGGUUUUUCUCUUUUUGUGCUGACGAGUAUCAAGUAUCAUGAUGUUGAAUAUGCUAGUGUAUUUAUGCUAAUAAAAGUUGUGAUUUACACUUUACAUAUAGUAUUAUUCAUCAUGAUGCACCAUACUAAAGAACUGCAAAAACUAUUAAUUCUCACAUUACAGCAUAUGAUUAGUACUUAGUGCUUUUCCAAUCUUCAUUAUUGUUAACUGAAUGAGUGUUAUCCAUCAGGGCAAAGAGAAUCCGUCAGAAAUAGUGCCGCCUCAGCCUUUUAACAUUUGCACAAUAAUGUAUACAAGUGGCACCAGUGGAGAUCCCAAAGGUGUUGUGUUAACACAUGAAACAAUAGCCCUUUUUGUAAGAGGCAUGGAUCUAUUUAUGGAUCAAUUUGAAGACAAGAUGACACCUGAUGAUGUGUAUCUAUCUUUCCUGCCCCUUGCUCAUAUACUUGACCGCAUGAUUGAGGAAUACUUCUUGUCGAAAGGUGCUUCUGUUGGCUACUAUCAUGGGGAUUUGAAUGCAUUGAGAGAUGACCUGACGGAGUUGAAGCCAACAUUUUUAGCUGGUGUACCUCGGGUCUUCGAAAAAAUACAUGAAGGUAUAAAGAAGGCAUUAGAUGAACUGAAUCCUGUUAGGCGGAAAAUUUUUGAUGUUCUAUAUAAAUACAAACUUUCUUGGAUGAAUAAAGGUUAUAAACAGAAGUACGCUUCACUGUUGGCAGAUUUGUUAGCCUUCAGGAAGGUCAAAGCUAAGUUGGGUGGUCGUCUUCGAUUAAUUGUAUCUGGAGGUGCACCCUUAAGUGUUGAAGUGGAAGAAUUCUUGCGGGUUACUGCUUGUGCUUUCGUGCUCCAAGGCUAUGGGUUGACGGAGACCUGUGGACCAGUCACCAUUAGCUUUCCAGACGAAAUGUGUAUGUUGGGUGCUGUUGGGUCACCAAACACGUACAUGGAGUUGCGCCUGGAGGAGGUUCCAGAGAUGGGCUACAAUCCACUUGAUAAUCCUUCUCGUGGUGAGAUAUGUGUAAGAGGGAAGACUUUGUUUGCUGAGUACUACAAGAAUCCUGAAUUGACAAGAGAAUCCAUGAAAGACGGGUGGUUUCACACGGGGGACAUCGGGGAGAUUCUUCCAAAUGGUGUUUUGAAGAUUAUUGAUAGGAGGAAAAAUCUUAUAAAGCUUUCCCAAGGAGAAUAUGUAGCAAUUGAGUACUUGGAAAAUGUUUAUGGGAUCACUCCAAUUGUUGAAGAUAUAUGGGUGUAUGGAAACAGCUUCAAGUCGAUGCUAAUUGCAGUAGUUGUAAUCCAUGAAGAAAACGCUAAACAGUGGGCAUACGUAAAUGGUCACACGGGUUCAUUUCCUGAACUUUGUUCACUUGACCAGUUGAAGGAGUAUGUCCUUGCAGAACUAAAAUCUACCGCUGAAAGAAACAAGCUGAGAGGUUUUGAGUACGUUAAAGGAGUGAUUUUGGAUUCUUGCCCCUUUGACAUGGAGAGAGAUUUAGUGACUGCAACACUGAAGAAGAAAAGAAACAAAUUGCUCAACUAUUAUCAGGUGGAAAUUGAUGAACUUUACAAAAAAUUGGCUGUAAGAAGAGCAUAAUCAUUACUCAGUCAUCUUCAGUCUUCAUUGUUCAUUUCUGUUGCUAUACCUGUUUGAUUUGCGAGCAGAAGUUUUUCUUCGGUUAAAAAAAUGAAUAAAUAAACAACUAUAGCUGUUAGCAGUAGAAGAGAGCAAUGCAGCAAGCCAAUAAGCCUUCCAACUAUGAGCACAAAAGCUUCAAUUUCCAAAUGGUAAUAUUUAAGAAUAAACAGCAAGAUCCUUGUAGCUCUCUUAUUGCUGCAAGCUCUACAUAAUGUUGUGCUCAUAUUCAUGCUUAAUCUUUGUAAAGUCUUGUCCUCUUAUAUCUGAUUAUGAAGAAGGGAAAGGACAAAGUUGGUCAAUUUCGUGUUUUGAAGUUAAUUAUGUUCUCUUUAAUUCAAGAUUUUGAAUAUUAUCGAUUCAUAAUAAUAUUAUAGUAAUUUGUAAACAAAAUAUAAUGCAUGUGGUCUAAAUAAAAUUUGUAUUUUCUUUUUAAUGAUGAACGGUCAUUUUUUGGUUAGUAAUUGAGAAUUUCUCUCUUAAUCCAA